AGCCAGACUCCUACGGGAGGCAGCAGUGGGGAAUAUUGCACAAUGGGCGAAAGCCUGAUGCAGCGACGCCGCGUGAAGGAUGAAGUAUUUCGGUAUGUAAACUUCUAUCAGCAGGGAAGAAAAUGACGGUACCUGACUAAGAAGCCCCGGCUAACUACGUGCCAGCAGCCGCGGUAAUACGUAGGGGGCAAGCGUUAUCCGGAUUUACUGGGUGUAAAGGGGGCGCAGACGGCGAUGCAAGCCAGGAGUGAAAGCCCGGGGCCCAACCCCGGGACUGCUCUUGGAACUGCGUGGCUGGAGUGCAGGAGGGGCAGGCGGAAUUCCUGGUGUGGCGGUGAAAUGCGUAGAUAUCAGGAGGAACACCGGUGGCGAAGGCGGCCUGCUGGGCUGCAACUGACGUUGAGGCCCGAAAGCGUGGGGAGCAAACAGGAUUAGAUACCCCGGUACA
rnacentral:rRNA from 1 species